rnacentral:lncRNA from 1 species
GACAGGACUGUCCGUGGGCCUCGAUAGGGCGAGAGCCGCGGGUGGGCGUCUCCAGGCAGCGCCUGAGCCUGCGUUCAGCAGCGGGGAAGGUCCGCAUCUUCUCCACGUUUUGCGUCCAGAUGUAAAUUCCAGUUCUUAGGAUGAGCUCGAGCAACGUCUGGCGAGGCCCAGACAGCGGGGUUCGAGGAGGUCAGGGGUCUGUUCAGACGCCGCAGCACGUGUUCCGGAGCCGCUGAGACGCGUUGGCGGCCAGCCUAGUGCGUUAGUCACGGCGGGGGUGGAUCACAGUGUCCCUGAGCUGUCCGCUUAUGGUCCCUCGUCUCUUCCGUGCUCUUCCUCAAAGAAGCCAGCCUCGAGGAGGAGGACGCCCCGUCGGCUGCUUCCGAGGGUCACCGUGUGCUCUCGGCGGUUCUCCCCGUCUCUCUCGGCCCUGAGGACAAGAUGGUCAACAACGAACCCAGUACUGACGACACCUACCAAGUCGGCGAGCCCGAGGGCUCCCCGGAGCCACAGUACCCCCCCGGCGUGGGAGACGUACUUCAGAAUAACGGAAAGAAGAAAUCGAAAAAUGAUCAGCACGAGAAACAAUCAGUUCUGGACAGGAUCCUGCAAAAUACUGAAAAAUCUCCAGGUAAACGGCAGCAAUACUGUGGCUUAACAACAUAGCAGCUCGUGGUGCUGGGCUGUCCCCCUGGUUGAAGGGAGCCGAGCAUCCAGUCCAGGCACACACGUGUCCCGUGAGUGGCUCUGCAAGAGCAGGUGCCUGGGUCCCCAUGGACCAGCCUCAAGCCAGGAGGCCCCGGCCCCCAGGUCCACAUUCCAGGCCUAACUCCCUCCCCAGGAGCAGCUGGGACAUGAGUCCUUGUCACACACGCACGUCACCACCCUGUGACCAGGCCUUCUCUGCAGGCCCCCCAGGCCCCCGGGGCCUCCCUGACUCACCCUUACUGCUGAGGUAGGUGCACAGGGCCCCGUGGCUUCUGCCCCUGCCCCACCCUUGUUCCUGGAGCUUUCCAGAACCACCCCUCCAGGCCGGCCCACCCGCCCUAGCCUCUCCCAGGCAGAAGCAACACCAGGCGACCCUCCGGCAUCUUCCUCGCACUCCUGUCACCUUCGUUCAGCUCGUCUGUUUGCUGAGCACCUGCACCAGGCUCACGCAGGCCUACGUUCUUAGGCCUCAUCCCCACAACGCGAAGCCCACGGCCCAGGGGUGCUCAGCUGGGCUGCAAGUCCCAGCCUAAGGGGACUUCUGGGUUCUGGCUCUUCUGUCGCCUGCUCCUCCAAGCCCCUGUCCUCCCCAAAUCAGCAAGACCGCCCUCUGGUCCUGGGUUUACCCACGAGGGGGUCCCAGGCUGGGCGUGGCGACCCCCCCCAGGGGUUCAGGUGUUGUCCAGCACAGGCCAGAAGCCACUGCAGUGGGGCCUCCCGGCCUCGGACUAUGGGACCAGAGCCCGUCCUGGGGCCCUUGCCCCACUGCAGCCGAGACCCUGCUCCCCAAAGCCCCCGGGUCCCUCUCCUCCCCACUCCCCACCAGCCCCCCUGAACCCACACCCUGCUGUCCCUCCAUGGGAACACACCGGGCAGCCCUGACCGCUGGGGCUCUGACCUGCAUCUGUGACAUC